rnacentral:lncRNA from 1 species
AGGAAAACUGCUAUAAGCAUUUGCAGGAGGGAGGUAUCCAGAGAGGCUAAUGGAAGAGACAGGCUUUGGGAUUUAUUUGCAGAGAGGUUAGGCAUUCAGACAUGUGGAAAGAGAGAUGAAAGGAAAGUGCACCUGAGGCUGAACAAGUGACUAAAGGAGAAGCCACUGUGCCUGUCGAAAGAACAAUGAAUAAUCCAGAAUUGAUAGAUAAGUAAGACUGGGGAAGGAAGAGAAAGGAAGACACAGCCUCUGAGAGCCGGAUGAAGACACAAAUGGGAUGGAGGCUGCGGCUGUUAAACCAUCAGGACUCAGCGGCUGUUAAACCAUCAGGACUCAGCAAUUAUUUCAUGUGGAGACAAGUGAUGGCAAAGCCAAAAGGCCACGGGUGUUGAGCUGUUGACGAGAAACUGAAAGUGCCAUUGUGUUUAUACAGGAAGCUGCCAUUAGUAGGGAUUUGAAAAAGCAAGAGGAGAGGAUGAGUUUAGUGGGGAGUUCUUACACUUCAGGUGCUAGUGGAUACCACCAAGUCAAUAUUGAGUAGCAGGAAACCAGGGCCUGAUGUUCCGUCAGGCCAUCAGGGCGGAGACAUUGUGGAGAGGAAGUUUUGAGGCUGUGAGAUUAGGAGAGAAGCAUGGAGUGUAGAGCAGGAACUAGGCCUCUCUUUACCCAAAAUCCAAAACCCCACUUAUGCCAGACACACUCAAUACUUUCUGCUGGGAUCCUCAAUUCUCAUAAAGUUUUCAUAAUAAGGCCGGGCGGGGUGGCUUAUGCCUGUAUUCCCAGCACUUUGGGAGGCCGAGGCGGGCGGAUCACCUGAGGUCAGGAGUUCAAGACGAGUCUGGCCAACAUGGUAAAAACCUGUCUCUACUGAAAAUACAAAAAUCAGCCGGGCUUGGUGGUAGGCGCCUACAGCUAGUCGGGACGCUGAGGCAUGGGAAUCGCUUGAACCCAGGAGGCAGAGGUUGCAGUGAGCCAAGAUCAUGCCACUGCACACCAGCCUGGGGGAUACAGCAAGACUCUGUCACAAUAAAAAAAACAAAAAGUUUUCAUAAAUUGGGAUGUUUCCUCUAUUCCUUCCCCUGUCUCAUUCUUGAGGGAUUGAAGAUAGUGUUUGAAAUCUCACUGGCAACCCUUCCUGCUCCCUUUCCCAGCAGUUCCAUGACCUUAUCCACUCUAACAAGCCCCGUUUCCUCCCUGCUUCUGCCACUCGCUGAACACAGUACCUUGGCAUUGCUGUCCUACAUACUCCAUUCUAGCCGUGACCGCUCUUCCGGAACACAAUCUCCUACUAGCUGCUAGGUCUGAGUGACUAACAUAAAAUUCUCCCUGGUCUGUCAGUAUUUGAAAUACAGCCGCUUGUCUU